rnacentral:rRNA from 1 species
AUUGAACGCUGGCGGCAGGCCUAACACAUGCAAGUCGAGCGGAGCGGCGGACGGGUGAGUACUGCCUAGGAAUCUGCCUGGUAGUGGGGGAUAACGUCCGGAAACGGGCGCUAAUACCGCAUACUCUCAGUUGCGCCUAGGCCGGAUUAGUUAGUUGGUGGGGUAAAGGCCAACCAAGGCGACGAUCCGUAACUGGUCUGCGAGGAGUAUCAGUCACACGGGAACUGAGACACGGUCCAGACUCCUACGGUAGGCAGCAGUGGGGAAUAUUGGACAAUGGGCGAAAGCCUGAUCCAGCCAUGCCGCGUGUGUGAAGAAGGUCUUCGGAUUGUAAAGCACGUUAAGUUGGGAGGCGUUACCAACAGAAUAAGCACCGGCUAACUUCGUGCCAGCAGCCGCGGUAAUUC